GGAGAAUUAGCUCAGUUGGUAGAGCAUCUGACUUUUAAUCAGAGGGUCAGAGGUUCGAAUCCUCUAUGGCUCACCA
rnacentral:tRNA from 1 species